rnacentral:rRNA from 1 species
ACUCCUACGGGAGGCAGCAGUGGGGAAUUUUCCGCAAUGGGCGAAAGCCUGACGGAGCAAUGCCGCAUGGAUGUAGAAGGCCCACGGGUCGUGAACUUCUUUUCCCGGAGAAGAAGCAAUGACGGUAUCUGGGGAAUAAGUAUCGGCUAACUCUGUGCCAGCAGCCGCGGUAAU